UUCUUCUUGUUCUCAGCCCAGCUUGUCAGACUUCUAACCAACACAUGUAAUUUCUUGCUCAAUUGUGCAGCCUACAAAGAACAGUGUUUUUAAUUCUUCUCCUGUGUUAUCUGUGUGGCAGUUCAUUUUCUUUCUGACCCUGUCCUCCGUCCUUCUUCAGGCAAUUUACUGUAGAUUGCUCUAAUCUUGUUCUUCCCAAUGGCCACAGCAGUCCUUGAUGAGGACUCUUUGUCACCCUUCUGUAACUGCCUCCACAGAAUUCAGAUCCUUUCUAAAGUCUCACAUAACUUCACCUGUUUUAUACUUGUGUUCUGUAGCAUGUAAUACCACUUCUAUUAUCUGCUUGACCAUUAAGGCUUGCCUCAUUGCGUUCUUUGAGGGAGUGUCUCCUAGCACAAGGAGUUGUUUUCAUUUGUGUGUGGGACACUCUUCAUGACGUUGUCCUCAGAAAGUUUGCAUCUCCCCUUUCUCAGACCCUUCAUGAAGAUAAAUGCCUGUCACAAUGCCUACAAGAGAAAUUACUGACUGUUAAUGACACAGGAAGGGUUUAUAUAUUCCACUUAAAAGAGCUAUCGUUGAUCUCCUGCAUAGUAGUUCUUAAUUGUGUAUCUUUAGAGCAGACAGUCCACUGUGGUUGAACAACAAGGCUCUCUCUUAAGUAACAACUGCAUCAGUGUAAACAAUGAAUUACCAGACUGUGAGCACCUUUUACCUAAAUAACUUAUCUCAUUCUACUCCACAUACUUAUGUUACAUUUUUGGACUGGGAGUAUAAAUGUUUGAGGACAAGGAGUUCACCUGCUUGGGAAGUACUACAUACAUCAGCAUAACCAAAAUCAAAUAAGAACCAGAUCAUCUUUGUAACACCAUUAUAAAUACAGAAGAAGUAGAUACAGCAUUCCAGAAGAGUUCUGAUGUAAUUCUUCAUGCAACAUACUCAUUAUCAUGUGCUGCCAGAUUCUGGAUAGCUGGAACAAAAUGUAGCUUCAGAGCUAAUCAAGGCUGAAGGUCUGCACGUGCACUGUUACUCAUUACGCUGUCAGAUGAUAAAGCGGCUACAAACCAAAUGGGUAUUUUGAGAUCUUGACUUCGUAUGUUACCAAGAGGAGUGUCAAAGCUGACAAAGGCUGAUAGGCAGUUCUACAAAGGGUAGCUUCCUAUUUCUGUCCCCCCCCCCCCCCCCAAAAAAAAAAAAACACUGAGAAAAAGCUAAAGCAAAUGGAGUGCACGGUUUGGGAAGAGGAGAAUCAAAUUAAUGUGUAUGUCCUACCCUAGGAGCCUAAUGGUUUGGACAGCAGACCAUAGACUCACAACUAUGAGAUCAUAGUCUCAUUAAAACCUGGAAAAAGGAUGACUGAGUUCUCACAGGACUGCUGAUUAUUUCCUUUAAUAUUUGAGGUGAAUAAGCAGGAACAUAGCAUUCUUGAGAAACACGGCUGUCAGGGUUGUAGUCUCAGCUUCCUUGCAGUCUGUGUUCAGUAACUGCAAUGAAAAAGGCUAAGAAGAGCUGAAGUUUGUUCACUGAGAGAGACUGUAGUCUGAUGCUUUCUCUAAGUGACAGGUUGCAAUGCAUAUAUUCUCUAUUCCAUAUAUAUUCUGUAGAAUGUAUUUUUAGAAUGAUCCGUAUUGUAUUGCGUACUAUAUUCUAUAUGUGUGUGUAUUAAAAAAAAAAAAAAA
ensembl:lncRNA